rnacentral:lncRNA from 10 species
AGAAACGCAGCGGGGAGAGGGGGUGGAAGGCAUCGAAGCAGGCAGCCUUGCAGCCCGGCUGCUGGGUGUGACACACGAAUUCACUCUGCUCAUCACCAUAGACUCCAGGCCCACUGGCAGCCAGCAGCACAAGGCGGAAUCCCAGGAGCACGGGAAGCAAGAGGCGCCCCACGGGGGUGGAGCGCCGGCUCUCCUCCGCCAGCAGCCGCCGCAGGAACCUGCCACACAUCCUGUUUUGGAGCAGAGGACAAGAGAUCAGUGUUGUUCACUGUCCUUCAGAGGGAGCUCCAGUCCACCUUGUCACUCCUAAUCCAAGGAUCACUGAAGACAAGACCAGCCUCCUCCCACAGCCAUACGUUGACAACACGUGCCAAGGCCUGGGGCAACAGGGUACCCAGGGUGAAGGGCUCACCCAAGAGUAGGGAGCGAAGAGAAAUGUGGAAGCUCAGCACCUCUGUGCCCCAAGAACGAUGAUGAAGUGGCGUCAUUUGUCUGGAGUAAUACCCAAGAUUCAUUGCCUCACGCCAAGGAAAUCAAGAAGACUGUGAGAACUACACGGAACCCUAAGGAGCUACUAAUCCAGCUGACACACGUGGAAACUGACUCAGACUAAGUGAUACAUACAGGCCAUAUGGACUACCAGACACAGGGCAAGACUAGAUGCUGGUUCCUCAGACCAGGUGAAGUGCUGAUACCAAGGCAUGCAAUAAGGGGUAAAGGGUGGAAUUAGAGAACAAAAUGCUGAGAAUCUGGCUCCAGGAAGAGAGAUAAGAAGGUAGCCUGGACUGUCUCCUAAGCAGGAGUGAUUAAAGCACGGGGAACUGGGAAAGAAGAAGUUAUGAGUUACAGGGAUGAUGGGCACUAGGUAUUUACAGUAGACGGGAUUUAUUAAGUACUGUGUACCAGGUGCAUGUUAUUUCUUUUAUUUUACCUUAAUUGUUUUAGAAACAGGGUCUCACUCUGUUGCCCAGGCUGGAAUGUGAUGAUGCAGUACAGCUCACCGUGAUCUCAAACUCCUGGACUCAAGCAAUCCUCCCACCUCACCCUGAGUAUCUGGGACUACAGGCAUGCGCCACCACACCUGACUAAUUUUUUUAAAUUAUUUUUUGUAGAGUCAGGGUCAUUAAUCAUAAUGCUCACUAUAUUGGGUAAAAUCCUUAUUAGGAGUUACUCUUUUAAAAAAUCAGAUGGAGGAGGUUGAAGCUCUAAGCCCAGGUUGCACUGAUCUCAGAAAGUGGGAUUCAAGGAGAGGAAAACAAUGGAGAAUUAUUACAAAUGGAUGGUAGGGAUGGGGACACCAGGAAUUUGGGAUGAGGAUGCUAAAAGUAAGAUAAAUGAUGGCCAGGCACAGUGGCUCACUCCUGUAAUCCCAGCGCUUUAGGAGGCCAAGGUGGGCAGAUCACCUGAGGUCAGAAGUUCGAGACCAGCCUGACCAACAUGGAGAAACCCCAACUCUACUAAAAAUACAAAAUUAGCCGGGUGUGGUGGCGCAUCCCUGAAAUUGUGGCUGCUCGGGAAGCUGAGGCAGGAGAAUGGCUUGAACCCAGGAGGCGAAGGUUGCAGUGAGCCAAGAUAGCACCAUUGCACUCCAGCCUGGGCAGCAAGAGUGAAACUCCAUCUCAAAAAAAAAAAAAAAAGACUAGAAGUAAGAAUUCUACAAUCAUUAGACUGGGCAGAUGAACUCUUAAGACGGGAAGAAAAGUUGCAAAACGUUAGAGCUUUAAAAUAAUUUUACUUGGUUUUGGAAUACUUAUGAAUGUCAUGUCUGGUUCUCUUACUAUUUACAAUAUAUCCAAAGAAACUGUUUACUGACUUCAGCGGCUGCAAAUCUGAUUUUUCUCUUCCAGCCCACUCAUAGGCUCCUUCUUGUGGCAAAACAUGAUAUUACUCCUAAGACUCAAACACCAACCUAAGCACAAAUAUCUGGCAAGUGAAGACAUUAAGAGUUUUGUUUUAUUUGCAAACUGUGCAUCUGACAAAGGUCUAAUAGCUAGCAUCUAUAAGGAACUUAAACAAAUUUAUGAGAGAAAAACAAACAACCCCAUGAAAAAGUGGGCAAAGGAGAGGAACAGACAGUUCCCAAAAGAAGACAUACAGGCGGCCAACAGACAUAUGAAAAAACUCAACAUCACUGGUCAUUAGGGAAAUGCAAAUCAAAACCACAAUGAGAUACCAUCUCAUACCAGUCAGAAUGGCUAUUAUUAAAAAGUCAAAAAAUGACAGAUGCUGGCAAGGUUGCAGAGAAAAGGGAACAUUUUCACAUUGUUGCUGGGAAUGUAAAUUAGUUCAAUCAUUGUGGGAAGCAAUAUGGCGAUUCCUCAAAGAGCUAAAAGCAGAACUACCAUUCGACCCAGCAAUCCCAUUACUGAGUAUAUACCCAGAGGAACAUAAAGCAUUCUACCAUAAAGACACAUGGGCCAGGCGUGGUAGCUCAUGCCUGUAAUCCCAGCACUUUGGGAUGCCAAGGCAGGCAGAUCACCUGAGGUCAGGAGUUCAAGACCAGCCUGGCCAACAUGAUGAAACCCUGGGCUCUACUAAAAAUACAAAAGUUAGCUGGGCACAGUGGCUCACACCUGUAAUCCCAGCUACUCAGGAGGCCCAGGCAGGAGAAUCAUUUAAACCCAGGUGGCAGAGGUUGUAGUGAGCCAAGAUUGCACCACUGUACUCCAGCCCGGGUGACAGAGCUAGACUCCGUCUCCAAAAAAAAAAAAAACAAAGACACAUCCACAUGAGUGUUCAUUGCAGCACUAUUUACAAUACUGAAGUGCCGAGACCAGCUCGGUUGGGGAGACCCUAACCCAGCGGCGCUAGAGGAGUUAAAGAUGCACACACAGAAAUAUAGAGGUGUGAAGUGGGAAAUCAGGGGUCUCACAGCCUUCAGAACUGAGAGCCCCAAACAGAGAUUUACCCACAUAUUUAGUAACAGCAAACCAGUUAUUAUCAUUGUUUCUGUAGAUAUUAAAUUAACUAAAAGUAUCCAUUAUGAGAAACAAAGGGAUGGGCCAAAUUAAAGGAAUAGGUUGGGCUAGUUAACUGCAGCAGGAACACGUCCUUAAGACACAGAUCGCUCAUGCUAUUGUUUGCAGCUUGAGAAUGCGUUUAAGCGGUUUUCCGCCCUGGGCAGGCCAAGUGUUCCUUGCCCUCAUUCCUUCAUUCCUGUAAACCCACAACCUUCCAGCUUGGGCGUUAGGGCCAUUAUGAACAUGUUACAGUGCUGCAGAGAUUUUGUUUAUGACCAGUCUUGGGGCCAGAUUAUGGCCAGAUUUUGGGGGGCUUGCUCCCAACAGUGAAGACAUGGAACCAACUUAAAUGCCCAUCAGUGACAGAUUGGCUAAAGAAACUGUGGUACAUAUACACCAUGAAAUAUUAUGCAGCCAUAAAAAAGAACAAGAUCAUGUCUUUUGAGGGAAUAUGGAUGAAGCUGGAGUCUAUAAUCCUUAGCAAACUAAUGCAGCAACAGAACACCAAAUACCACACGUUCUCACUUAUAAGUGGGAGCUAAAUGAUGAGAACUUAUGAACACAAAGAAGGAAACAACAGACACUGGGGUCUGCUUGAGGGUGGGAGGAGGGAGAGGAGCAGAAAAGACAACUGUUGGGUACUGGGCUUAAUACCUGGGUGAUGAAAUAAUAUAUACAACAAACCACGAUGACACAUGUUUACCUAUGUAACAAAUCUUCACACGUACCCCCAAACCUAAAAUAAAAGUUUUAAAAAAGAGUUUUGUUUUCAAAAUCCUUUCUUCCUAGGAGGUUGCAAAUUUUACUGAAUAAGAAUAACCAGGGAUGGGGCCUGGCACGGUGGCUCAUGCCUGUAAUCCCAGCACUUUGGGAGGCUGAGGCAGGUGGAUCACCUGAGGUCAGGAGUUCGUGACCAGCCUGACCAGCAUGGAGAAACCCUGUCUCUACAAAAAAUACAAAAGUUAGCAGGGCAUGGUGGCACAUGCCUGCAAUCCCAGCUACUCAGGAGGCUGAGACAGGAGAAUCACUUGAACCCAAGAGACGAAGGUUGCAGUGAGCCGAGAUUGCAUCAUUGCACUCCAGCCUGGGUGACAGAGCGAGACUCUAUCUAAAAAAAAAAAAAAAAAAAAGUAGUUCCUUGGAAGUUAAAGGUUAAGCUUAAGGACUGAUUCAAAGGCAGGUGCAAAAAAUAAACCCUCUUUUGUAACCCAGAACUCAUUUUUCAGUAUGAGUUUUGAUACAUAUAAGAAGGAAAGCUAGGCAUGGUGGCUCACACCUGUAAACCUAGCACUUUGGGAGGCCGAGGCGGGUGGAUCACGAGGUCAGGAGAUCGAGACCAUCCUGGUUAACAUGGUGAAACCCCGGCACUACUAAAAAUACAAAAAAUUAGCCGGGGGUCGUGGCGGGUGCCUGUAGUCCCAGCUACUCGGGAGGCUGAGGCAGGAGAAUGGCGUGAACCCAGGAGGUGGAGCUUGCAAUGAGCCGAGAUUGCGCCACUGCACUCCAGCCUGGGUGACAGUGAGAGGCUCCGUCUCAAAAAAAAAAAAAAAAGAAGGAAUAUGAUACCUGAGAUAGUUUAAAAUAAUGGAGGUAUUGAUAACCAUAAAGGUUGGUUCCAGGACUGUAGGGUUGAUCAUUUAAAAGCAUAGGACAUAAGGAAAAUCUCAGCUAUGUUGAUUUAGUAUUCCAUUGGAGGUGGAGCUUGCAAUGAGCCGAGAUUGCGCCCCUGCACUCCAGCCUGGGUGACAGUGAGAGGCUCCGUCUCAAAAAAAAAAAAAAAAAGAAGGAAUAUGAUACCUGAGAUAGUUUAAAAUAAUGGAGGUAUUGAUAACCAUAAAGGUUGGUUCCAGGACUGUAGGGUUGAUCAUUUAAAAGCAUAGGACAUAAGGAAAAUCUCAGCUAUGUUGAUUUAGUAUUCCAUUGGAGGUGGAGCUUGCAAUGAGCCGAGAUUGCGCCACUGCACUCCAGCCUGGGUGACAGUGAGAGGCUCCGUCUCAAAAAAAAAAAAAAAAGAAGGAAUAUGAUACCUGAGAUAGUUUAAAAUAAUGGAGGUAUUGAUAACCAUAAAGGUUGGUUCCAGGACUGUAGGGUUGAUCAUUUAAAAGCAUAGGACAUAAGGAAAAUCUCAGCUAUGUUGGUUUAGUAUUCCAUUGUCAUGCUUACAUGAUAUGUCAAGACAGCUUUUCUUAAAGGCUUUUACCUUGAGAACAUGAUUCCUAGAGUUGUAAUGGCAUAUCCCACAGAUUUGUACUAUGCUUGAGUGUGAUUCCUCAGGAACGAAUAUGAUUUGAACUCAUUCACGUUUAGAGAGGGUGUCAAGUUGAAAACCAGGCAGAUUCACUUACCCUAAAAAUGACUCUAAAGUAAAAUGAUUGAAGAAAUUAGAUUCCAAAGAUUCUGGGUGGAAAUUCUGAAGUAUAUUUACAUUCAUGUGGACAUAAAAGAGGCCAAAAUUCAAGAACUGUGGGCUGACAGGAGAGCUGUGGAUUAAGCACCAGUUCUAUUAAAAGGGAGGCUGGGCACAGUGGCUCACACUUUUAAUCCCAGUGAUUCAGGAGGCUGAGGUGGGAGGAUGGCUUGAACCCAGGAGUUCGAGACCAGCCUGGGCAAUAUAGCAAGACCCCAUUACAGGUAUGAGCCACUGCACCUGGCCUCAUCUUUUAAUUAGCAUAAAGCCCUUAGUUCCUACAGCUUUGCUCCACAAGAGUGAAGUCAACGCUGAGCCUCAGCAGGACAUCUCUUCCCACUGUGGGCCCCGAAGCUUAGUGAAGCUAACUUGCUGGCCUCUGGAGAACCAAAAUCUGUGUCUAGAAAUGGUUCCAGCAACUUCUCCACACCCCAUGAUGAAAUAGAUUACUGGGCUUUUUCCUGAUGUGAUGCAAGAUCAAAUACACUUUGCAUAAUUCAGAUUUUAGACUACACCAGCCAAAACCACAAGGACACUGUGCUACUGUCUUGAGUUGGUGACUCUCUUUUCAUUCUACCUAAUCACCCUGUGGCCCUGGGUGACAGCCAGCCUCUCUCCAGCCAAGAAGAUCAUGACUACAGUUGUGUAGUAUUUGGUUCAUAAAAGAUCUGAACAGGAAAUUCAGGCCAUUGCAGGCUGGAGUGCAGUGGCGAAAUCAUAGCUCACUGCAGCCUCGAACUCCUGAGCUCAAGCAAUCCUUCCUCCUUAGCCUACUCGGUAGCAAGGACUACAGGCAUGCACCACUAUGCCUGGCUC